rnacentral:rRNA from 1 species
AACGAACGCUGGCGGCAGGCCUAACACAUGCAAGUCGAACGCUCCGCAAGGGAGUGGCGCACGGGUGAGUAACACGUGGGAACCUACCUUCUGGUACGGAACAACCAAGGGAAACUUUGGCUAAAACCGUAAUACGACCUCCGGGUGAAAGAUUGAUCGCCGGAAGAGGGGCCCGCGUCCGAUUAGGUAGUUGUGAGUAACGGCUCACCAAGCCUACGAUCGGUAGCUGGUCUGAGAGGAUGACCAGCCACACUGGGACUGAGACACGGCCCAGACUCCUACGGGAGGCAGCAGUGGGGAAUAUUGGACAAUGGGCGCAAGCCUGAUCCAGCCAUGCCGCGUGAGUGAUGAAGGCCUUC